CCCUGUGCUGUAAAGAAAGGAAAAAGCCAUGGAAAAUUGAUCUAGUGUAUUGAGACUGAAGAUUUCCGAAGUUAAAACCAAUAUGCAUUUUUUUAUUUCGACAGGGUAAUUUAUAGUGAUGUUGAUUGGUUGUGAGAGAGAACACGAAAUCAAACACAUAUAUAAAAACUGAUCUUGUGUAUGAAGACUGAAUAUUAUCGAAGUUAAAACCAAUACGUAUUUUUAAUUUCGACGGGGUAAUUCAUAGUGAUGUUGAUUGGUUGCGAGAGAGAACACGGAAUCAAACACAUAUAUAAAAACUGAUCUUGUGUAUGGAGACUGAAUAUUUCUAAAGUUAAAACCAAUACACAUUUUUAAUUUCGACAGGGUAAUUCAUAGUGAUGUUGAAUGAUUACGAGAGAGAACACAGAAUCAAACACAUAUAUAAAAACUGAUCUUGUGUAUGAAGACUGAAGAUUUCCGAAGUUAAAACCAAUAUGCAUUUUUUUAUUUUGACGGGGUAAUUCAUAGUGAUGUUGAUUGGUUGCGAGAGAGAACACGGAAUCAAACACAUAUAUAAAAACUGAUCUUGUGUAUGGAGACUGAAGAUUUCCGAAGUUAAAACCAAUAUGCAUUUUUUUAUUUUGACGGGGUAAUUCAUAGUGAUGUUGAUUGGUUGCGAGAGAGAACACGGAAUCAAACACAUAUAUAAAAACUGAUCUUGUGUAUGGAGACUGAAGAUUUCCAAAGUUAAAACCAAUAUGCAUUUUUUUAUUUCGAUGGGGUAAUUUACAAUGGCGUCGCUGAUUGGUUACCUCCCUUCCUUCCCUCCUUCCUUUCAUAAGCUUCAGAGUGACUCCCAGCCUGCCCUUCCUGCCUCCCACUGCACCCCUUAUGAGAGAGACUAUCGGCAAUCUCUAAUCAAUGAUAUGCUGGACUAUACGUUGCCCAUGAGAGGACAACACGUGGUUAACAGAUGCCUUCUACUACUCCUCGACGCCCCUGAAAUACCGCAAGUUUCCACACCCAUGAGUAAGGUUGACAUUUUUCGACGCUAACUAAACUGUCUCUUGUUCUUUGUCUACAUUGAACUUGCAUAAACAUUGGGUGACUCUUAUUGCGGUGUGGUGACAAUACGUUAACCCAUUACGAGAACUAGGUACGUAAUCUCAGACAUUUCCGAAACUCACACACACACAUAUGAAAAGGCUUUCGUAGAGGUUGUUGUGUUAGUGUUUCCAUGGGUAGUGUUAUGAGCCUGGUGAUAGUUUGACAAGGCUUUCAUAGAGGUUGUUGUGUUAGUAUUGCCAUGGGUAGUGUUAUGAGCCUAGUGAUAGUUUGACAAGGCUUUCAUAGAGGCUGUGUUAGUAUUGCCAUGGGUAGUUUUAUGAGCCUAGUGAUAGUUUGACAAGGCUUUCAUAGAGGUUGUUGUGUUAGUGUUUCCAUGGGUAGUGUUAUGAGCCUAGUGAUAGUUUGACAAGCCUUCAACACCACCAAUGAGAACCACACUAACCUCCUCUGUGACCUUGAGAAAUGGAUAUCGUGUGAACCGAACGCAUCCGAGAAAACGCACCUUAGUCCUACCAUACAUACGCCAGGUCUCGGUCAAAACUACA